AUUGAACGCUAGCGGGAUGCUUUACACAUGCAAGUCGAACGAGUGGCGGACGGGUGAGUAAUAUAUCGGAACGUGCCCAGUAGCGGGGGAUAACUACUCGAAAGAGUGGCUAAUACCGCCUACUAUUGGAGCGGCCGAUAUCGGAUUAGCUAGUUGGGGGGGUAAAGGCGCCCGAAGGAAACGAUCCGUAGCUGGUCUGAGAGGGUGACCAGCCACACGGGAACUGAGACGCGGUCCAGACUCCGACGGGAGGCAGCAGUGGGGAAUAUUGCACAAUGGGCGCAAGCCUGAUGCAGCCAUGCCGCGUGUAUGAAGAAGGCCUUCGGGUUGUAAAGUACUUUCAGCGGGGAGGCGUUACCCGCAGAAGAAGCACCGGCUAACUCCGUGCCAGCCGCCGCGGUAAUAC
rnacentral:rRNA from 1 species